rfam:Eimeria acervulina, Houghton, WGS project CBTS01000000 data, contig: Eah_contig225_2
GGCAGAAUGGCCGAGUGGUCUAAGGCGCUGCGUUUAGGCCGCAGUCCGCAAGGGCGUGGGUUCGAACCCCACUUCUGUCA